GGCGCCUCUGCCCAGCCGCCCCUACUGGGAAGUGAGGAGCCCCUCUGCCAGGCCAGCCACCCCGUCUGGGAGGGAGGUGGGGGGCUCAGCCCCCCGCCCGGCCAGCCGACCCGUCCGGGAGGGAGGUGGGGGGUCAGCCCCCCGCCCGGCCAGCCGCCCCGUCCGGGAGGUGAGGGGCACCUCUGCCCGGCCGCCCCUACUGGGAAGUGAGGAGCCCCUCUGCCCAGCCAGCCGCCCCGUCCGGGAGGGAGGUGGGGGGGUCAGCCCCCCGCCUGGCCAGCCGCCCCGUCCGGGAGGUGAGGGGCGCCUCUGCCCGGCCACCCCUACUGGGAAGUGAGGAGCCCCUCUGCCCAGCCACCACCUCGUCUGGGAGGUGUACCCAACAGCUCAUUGAGAACGGGCCGGGAUGACAAUGGCGGUUUUGUGGAAUAGAAAGGGGGGAAAGGUGGGGAAAAGAUUGAGAAAUCGGAUGGUUGCCGUGUCUGUGUAGAAAGAAGUAGACAUGGGAGACUUUUCAUUUUGUUCUGUACUAAGAUAAAUUCUUCUGCCUUGGGAUCCUGUUGAUCUGUGACCUUACCCCCAACCCUGUGCUCUCUGAAACAUGUGCUGUGUCCACUCAGGGUUAAAUGGAUUAAGGGCGGUGCAAGAUGUGCUUUGUUAAACAGAUGCUUGAAGGCAGCAUGCUCGUUAAGAAUCAUCACCACUCCCUAAUCUCAAGUACCCAGGGACACAAACACUGCGGAAGGCCGCAGGGUCCUCUGCCUAGGAAAACCAGAGACCUUUGUUCACUUGUUUAUCUGCCAACCUUCCCUCCACUAUUGUCCUAUGACCCUGCCAAAUCCCCCUCUGCGAGAAACACCCAAGAAUGAUCAAUAAAAAAAAUAAAAAUUAAAAAAAAAAAAAAAAAAAAUACAAAAAUUGGCUGGGCGUGGUGGCGGGCGCCUGUAAUUCCCAGCUACUCAGGAGGCUGAGGCAGGAGAGUCACUUGGACCUGAAAGGCGGAGGUUGCAGUGAGCCAAGAUCUCGCCACUGCACUCCAGAGCAAGACUCUGUCUCAAUAAAUAAAUAAAUGGAAUGUCCAUACUUCCCAAGUCCCAAGUCUCUGUCUUAAACUCAGAGUUGGUCAUCUAGGAGUAAACAGCCUCCUAAUGGAAUUGCUUCGUUCCUCUCGCCCUCCUUCCCUCCCUUGAGGCCUAAAAGAUUUGGAGAAUUUAGGUUAUCAGGGGAUGUUCAGUGCCUCCCCCAAAAAGAAUCUGAACUGUGCUCCUUGGGCAGUUGGCCAACACCUAAUAAAUGAUGAGGUCAUCCCCCCCCAGGAAUUUGUAAGCGUUCUUCCUUCCACCUUCCCCGCAUAAUGAGAUCUUAAAGAGCAGAGAAAUUCCAUAUUCCAUGUUGCUGUCAACCGGGCUUUAUGCUGCUGGGCAUCACGGUAAGGGAACAGCAAUAUCGUUUAUUAUCUUCAACUCAUUUUUCCAGUGCCAGGGGCUGCACCCAAGCUAGAGUGACCAUGGAGAAACAGGGAGACAAAGGAAUAACAUUACUCCAUAUAGUGCUAGAGUAUUUUAGGACAAAAGCCUCUUUUUUUUUUUUUUUUUUUGAGACUGGAUCUCGCUCUAUCGCCCAGGCUGGAGUGCAGUGGUAUAGUCUCAGCUCACUGCAACCUCU
rnacentral:lncRNA from 1 species